rnacentral:tRNA from 1 species
GCCUCUGUGGUGUAGUUGGUUAUCACGUGAGUCUCAUACCUAUAUGAUCAGAAGCAGCACUUCUGGGACAUCUCAAGGUCGGGAGUUCGAUCCUCCCCGGAGGCA